rnacentral:misc_RNA from 1 species
AAGUCGUAACAAGGUUUCCGUAGGUGAACCUGCGGAAGGAUCAUUAACACUUUUUCAAAGUGAGAAAGAGGAAUUGUUUCACGUUUCUCUUUCUCAAAUCCAACUACCCAAAUUGAAGUGCUGGUGGAAAGUUCGAUUUCCGAGCUUUCCCACACGUUUUUCUCUCUUCUUUUUAACAAACCCCAAACACACAUGCUAAUGAGAUGACAAACAAAAAAACAAAAAUAACUACUAACGUAACCAAACAACUUUUAGCAACGGAUAUCUUGGCUCUC